UGGUCCAAUGUUUUUCGUCUUCACUGAU
rnacentral:piRNA from 1 species